rnacentral:rRNA from 1 species
AUUGAACGCUGGCGGCAUGCUUUACACAUGCAAGUCGAACGGUAACAGGCCGCAAGGUGCUGACGAGUGGCGAACGGGUGAGUAAUGCAUCGGAACGUGCCCAGUCGUGGGGGAUAACGCAGCGAAAGCUGUGCUAAUACCGCAUACGAUCUGUGGAUGAAAGCGGGGGACCUUCGGGCCUCGCGCGAUUGGAGCGGCCGAUGUCAGAUUAGGUAGUUGGUGGGGUAAAGGCUCACCAAGCCGACGAUCUGUAGCUGGUCUGAGAGGACGACCAGCCACACUGGGACUGAGACACGGCCCAGACUCCUACGGGAGGCAGCAGUGGGGAAUUUUGGACAAUGGGAGCAAGCCUGAUCCAGCAAAGCCGCGUGCAGGAAGAAGGCCUUCGGGUUGUAAACUGCUUUUGUACGGAGCGAAAAGGCUCCCUCUAAUACAGGGGGCUCAUGACGGUACCGUAAGAAUAAGCACCGGCUAACUACGUGCCAGCCGCCGCAGUAACAC